UCGGUGCAGCCCCCGGGAGUGCGGUGGGAACUGGCUGGCUGGCCACCUUCAGCUGCUAGCCGGCUCAGCCUGGAAAUUGGAGCGUCCGGCUGUGAAUACACAUGUGAAGAAGUGCUUUGGACUCCAAGACAAAGGUCUCUCUUCAGAUGUCCCCGUCUGCGUGUGUCCUGUGAGUCCUGCCAGGACGCCUCCCGACGCCGGAGUUAAUCAUGUUCUCACUGCCUCUGUGCGUCUUGUGUCUGCCCCUGCUUCAGCACACACCACACGGUCUUGGGGGACUCGGUUUCCCUGUUGGCCUUCCUGAGAGAACUGUGAAUUCUGUGGGCAGGGUCACUCUCUUGCUCACCACUCUCCCUCUGAGCCAAGAAGCCGUCUGGUGGUGUCUUCGUGAACGCAGGAGGAGAUGAGCUCAGCGUCAUCCUGCGCAGGUGCCGGGGGUGGGGGGAUGCUCCCGGACGGCCCCCCAGACCCCUGCCAUGCUGGGCAGGAGUGGGGCCGUACAGUGACUGAGGCGUGGGUCUAGAUUUCGGGAGCAGGCACACAGCCAGGAGCCAGACCAUCUGGGUUGACAGACUGACUCUGUCUUUUUACUAGUUGCGUGAUCUUGGGUAAGUGCUUUAACGUUUCCGUGAGCAAAUUUCUCUCUAAUAUGGUCACAAAGUAGUCCGCACCUCACAGGAUUCACGUGUAGUUUAAGUGUGAUGCCCUGUGCUUGGCGUAUGGUGAGUGCUCAGUAGUUGUUAGUGUCAAAAUAAACAAACAAACCUACAUGGUCCCAGAAUACAGCACUCGCUGGGGCCCUGAGAGGUCUGGGAUCUCAGGCGGCUUGGGUGCUAUUAUCUUGAACAAGUCAGUCAGCUUCUCUGGGUCCAAGAGCCCUCCUGGGGCCCCCUUCCUCUUAGCUGGGGACCGAGAUAUGGUACAUGUGCUGCUGAGCAUGGGGGGGUAUAAGGUAAGUACGUUUUCUGGUGGUUUUCUGCCUUCAUCCUCUUUCUUAGCUCUGGUUAAAGGACUGGUGUCCAGGAAAAAUCCAACUCCAGGGAGACAGGAACCGGGUUGCUCCCAGCAGAGCGAAGAAGCUCAGCACGACAGGGGACAUUCACAGCCAAAGGCAAGCACAUGGCAGAAGGCACAGCCUCUCCUUGGGGUUUCAGGGGAGCCCUGGGCCUGGGAGACUGUUGCCGUUCUGCCUGGUUGGGAAAGACAAGGACUUGGGAGUACAACCACCCCCUUGAUGCUGGAUUUCCUUCACUCGAGUGAAUGCUCAUUGGCUGGAAACUCUAGACAACUGGCACAGACAGGCCCCCAUCCCAUAGGACUGAAACGAAGAAGGUUUUCUCUUCUGUCUUGGGAUUUGUCUGUUUCCCCAAGAGGCCAUGGAGUCUCUCCUAGGUCCUCUGCUGACACAGCAGUGUGGGUCCGGAGACUGAGCAUGGCAUCUGCAAGCCCAGGGUUCCCCGGGGCCCCCGCUCCAGACUGAGCAUGCCAAUGGCUGAGGGCUGGCGUGGCGCUAGCUUUCUGUGUCCCACCAACACGUGGGGUCUAGAAUGUGGAUGGAGCCUGAAGGAGCCCCAACCACUCCAGAAGAAGACCUCACAGACUUCCAGCUGCUGAAAGGGGCUUCUCUGUACCCAGACUCCGAUCACCAGACGGGGUGUGGGGAGGGUACUGGGGAGAGAACCCUUUGUGAAGAUUCCCACCAACUUUCAGUGACAAGAGGAGGGACCUUGUUUCUGUGCCUCAGGCUUCCUUGGGAGAUAUGGUGGGAAGGGGUCCAGGGCAUGAUACACGGGACGGGCUUUGUAACUCCUGGAGAAAUUCUGUUGUCAUUUGUACCUGCGGUUGUCAGCUUGAGUGGCCCAUUCUAGGCAGUGUGGCUCUGCAUCAUUCUAAACUAGAACGAGAGCAGUGUGGGCCUUUUUGGCCUGCAGUUCAGAGUGGCCUUUCGUUACUGUGUUGUGUGGAUCCCCUUCAGGGUCUUUUUAGGGGCAAAAGCUGAACAGUCCCCCGCUGGUCCCAAAGGAGGGGUUGGUGUCUGCAGAGUGGCGUCUGCCCAGGAAGAGGGAGCAGGCUUGUCCCACUUCACAGGGGAACUCGCACUCCUGCCGGGCCACGUGCCUGCAUGCCAAGGCCACAGAAGUGGGCGUGCUGGGGUUCAAGAGGAGCCAGCAUGCCCUUACUGGCAGCUGCUGGGCAGCCUGUGCCCUGGGAACCCCAAGUGGGGGGGGGGUUGGGGCAGGGACGGGGAGUGACUCGUCCGACCCGAUCGCCCAGAUUGGAGCCCGUAGCCCUGGCCCUGGCCUGAUUCCCCCUGGGGCUGGGGGUGGGGGGCUCCUCCAUGUCCCACGCCCACCGGGAGGUGUCCAGCCAUGGACACCCGUGACUCGGAGGCCAUCUAAGUCACGGGGAAGGAGAAGACAGCCUGUUUUGUCCUAGGACCUAGCUAGCAGCCAUCAGCUGGACACGCAGGAUGCCCCCCUGAGUUCUGGGUGUCUCCCAGUUGGCUCAGACGCUAGAGGAGGACAGAUGGUUAAGGAGCGCUCUCAGGUCGCGAUAUUCUGUUCCCUUUCCUGUGGCCACCAGCUUCACGGAGCAGCGCUACAGCGACAGGGCCCCACGUGGGGUCAUCCACGCCUGGCCCCCCACAGCGCACCCUGCACGGGCUGCUUGUCCACCGAGGGGCGGGAGCUGAGAGGCCGGCAGGGUUCCUGGCUCGAGGUUGGCGCUUCCAGGCCAUUCCUGAGUUGAACUGUUCCUUAAAGUUCCAGAGAGGGGAACGCACUCGUCUUUGCUGGAAACACAUUCUGAGACCGUGAAAUUCUUCCACCUGCCUCACCUGACAUUUCUAAAAAUCGGAUUUUUCCCAUUCUGCUGAGUCUUAAAGAUGUCUUGAGAACUGAUGGGCAGAUCAGAGAAGGCACUUCCCAGAGGGAAAAGUAACACAGCCGCCCACGGCCUCACACGGUGGCCACUGCUGCCGGAGACACACGGCGAACCAAGAGCACUGCGGCCCCGGGACUCUGUGAAGGCAGGGAGGUGAGCCGUCCUACAUGUGGACGUGGCCAUGUUCUGGAUACGUCGAGUUAAAUAGAUAUUAGCACUGGUGUCACCUCUUCCUCUUCUUACUUUUUAAGAAUCCCGUGGCUACUAAUUGUAAUCACGCAUGGCUUGCGUUCUGUCUGUGUUGGACAAGUGGUCCUGGGGCCUGGCCGUGCUGGCACGCCGGGUUCUCCCCUCGGGGGCCGGCACAGGAGCCAGGAAGGCCUGGGUGCGCCCUGUGUCCUGACCUCUCUCGGGGCUCGUUUCUCUCCCGGGAGCUGGGAGUGGGCUGCACGCCCCGCAAGGUCACUUCCAAGUCCUGUGUGAGUUUCAUGGCUUCUGUGGAAGAAGGGCCAGCUACUCCAAAGCCUCCCCCGGCUCGAAUUAAAAUCCCAAGUGUCCACAUGUCCGAGCUUCGGGUCAGUCUUGGAAGAUGCCGCCACGCACAGAGGGAUGGCCGGGACGGUGCGCGCCAGACGGGUGUGACCGUCUCAUAAACGGUGAAUGCAGAUGGCCCCUGACUACAGGGACGGAGAGGGAAGGCGCGCAAAUGCUCAUUUCUCUGCUGACCUAGACGUUUGGUUGUUAACCUUCACGGCUGAACUGCGUCUUGACGGCCAUCAGGGGAUGAAUCAGGGCCCUGAUUCAGCUAGAGGAGGUGUUUCCUACCAGGCAGGGGAGGGACGCUGUGUUCCGGAUGAUGACGCCCUGCGCCCCGCCGCUGUCCUGCACGUCUCAGGAAGACGUUCGGCUCUGCUCACGGAAACAGCCGUGUCGAUGGCUCAUUUUUCUUCAUCAGACUUUACUGAACACAGACUCAUUCAAGUGGAAACCUAGUUUGUACAGAAUUAUUUACAGUUUGUUGGUUUUUUUAAAAAGGAUCUGUUGAUGAGAAGACACAUAAUGGCCCCCACUGAGCCGGCCUCUGAAGCCAGGAUCUUCUACGCAAGCUUCAUCUCCUCAACACACUGCUAAUGUGCUCUGACGUCUGUCCCCCAUUCCUCUCCCCUGCCCUGCUGCUGGCCCAAUUUCUGGCUUAUGUCCUCAUGCUGGGCACCCUUAUACUGUUCCUGCCGGGCAUCUCGUGUGGGACAGGGUGCCUGCUUCAUACUACAGAAGCCAAAAUGGCCAGACACUCGCUCUCCCGCAUCCUGGGACCUGGCGUGUGGUCGGUCGUGUGACCCAGGCUUGUCCAAGCACCUGCUCCCAGCGGAGACGGUGAGGCUGGAGCUGGUGAGGCAGAGAAGCAGGGGGCGUAGAUUUAUCCCCCCGACAGUGACGCCCCAUGUCUCGGGGAGGCAGAGACAUGAGUGGUCCCUGUGGUCAGUGACCUGGGCUGAUGGUGAUGGCUCGGCUGGACGCUUAGCUUCCCGAGGCCCGGCUGGCAAACUCGCCCCCAGCACCUCUCACCCCCACGCCUUGCUCUGCAUUUUUAAAAGUCUACAUUUGCCAUCUUUUAACAUACUGUGUUAUUUGCUUAUUGUUUUAUAUUUAUUGCUUAUUUGCACCUAGGAUGUCAACUCCACGGGCACAAGGACUUCUGUCUGUUUUGUUUGCUGUGUCCCAAGUACCUGGCACACAGUUAAAUUAAAUAUUUGUGGAAGGAAGGAACGAAGUCUUCCCAUGAUAUGAUUUGGGCAGCCUGACCUCCCUUGGUCCGUCUCCUUUCUUCCGAACGGCGAUCCAGAGUCCCCACGGCUUUGACGCUGUCCGGUACCCUUCCCACACGCCCUCUCUUUCUCCCGUAAGUUAACCAGGCUCAGCUGUCGUCGUUUGCAAGCAGGACCUGUGACCGGAAUCGGGUCACAUCCUCACACUUGGCAAACAGCCGGGGCUGACUGUGUCUCGGGGAGGAUUUGGCCAUUUCCAGGGUCGGCUCUUUGUGGUCACGUGGAGGAGGCGGCAUCCGGUGGUUGGAGGCCAGUGAGGCUGCUGACCAUCCUACAGGGCCGGCGUCAGUCCCCUCAGCAGAGGAGUCCUGUGUCAGUCCUGUGGAGUGGAGAAGCCCCUGGGACUCCUUGGGCCUGCCCUCGGUGAGAUCAGGCAGCACCCCGUGACGGGGGUGUGGGCGGCGCAGUCGGGGGACCUGGCCUUGGACCCGCUCUGUCUCUGAUUCUGAUUAGCUGUGUCAUGUGGGAUGAGUCCCUUGUUCCCUCCGCCCGUUUCUUCAUUUGUAAAACAAGGGUACUAAUGUCACGUUCAAGAGUAGUUUAGAAGCUCGAGAGAGGGUAUAUAAGACUGGCUCACAGGCCCCAUUCCAAGUCGGGGUGCUUCUGGGAAUUUUGAACCCCACAAUUGGAUGUUUCCCAGAAGGGCAGCAGAAGCCCAGGGAAAGGCCAGCGUGGGGGAGCUCGGCUGGCACCUGGAGGGGCUGAGUUUGCAAGGCCAGCUCUCUCCCGGGGCUACUUUGUUGUCCGUAUGUCAGGACCAAAUUCGGGAUGGUGGUCACCUGGUACGUGAAGGAACAUGGCCGCGACCUGUGCAGCUUCAAGGUCAAGCUGACCGUAGGUGGAAAUAACAGAAUCAGAGAACAAUGUUCUGCCUGCACGCGGCAGACCGCUCGCCCGCCGCGGCACACAUGCUCCUCUGGAGAGCGAGCUCCAACGGAUCCGGGUCCUUUGAGUUCUGCACCCCCUGCUCUCUCCAGUCUGCACUCGAUCAGAGGCUUGGAAAGAUGUCAGGACCCCAGCCCAGUGACAGCGGGACAAACGGAGCCGAAUUCUUCAUUUGAGCAUAGAGUCCAUCCCAAAGAAACAAAAACACGGACGUGAUUUUGAUUUUUGGAACUUAUCUGUGAAAUGGGAUUGUUUAAUGAAGUCGACAAACAUAUACUUAAGAUUUUCUAUCUGUAUGUCUGUUGCUCCGUGUGAAAGAAAUGUUUUGAAAUUAGAAUUUAUAAAAAGUGUACUGUUUUCACCUACCAGCAAAAUUAUAUGACAAAUCUGGCUAUACUGUCUGUAAAAUGUGAACAUGCAAAGAAAGUUAAUUUUUAGAAGUCAUUGACAAAUUUGCAGAAAUGAAGCCUUAAAAAUAGGAACUGUGUUGUUACGAUUCAUCACUGCAACAGGCCGGUAUGUUGGUAUUAGGUUUUCCUUUUUAAAAAAUGGGUUAAUAGGGCGCCUGGGUGGCUCAGUUGGUUAAGCGACUGCCUUCGGCUCAGGUCAUGAUCCUGGAGUCCCGGGAUCGAGUCCCGCAUC